CGGUGAGUGUGAUGGUUUAUUUCUGGACUCUGGAUUCUGUCCCACUGCUCCGAGCUCUGUCCUUGUGCCGACAGUCUUGAUGGCUGUGGCCUUGCAGUCCAUUUCUAAACUUACUUUGUUCUUCUUCGAGAUUACUUGUCCUCUCCGAGGCCUUUGCUGUCUACGCAGUGGGUCCGGGUUUCAGCCUCUGCAGCUGCUGCUUCCAGCUGUCAGUGUCAGAACCUUCCCGAGCUUCUCGCCAUCCCCCACCUGAGCCCCCAUCAGGGCCUGGGGGUCCAGGGCUGCGAUGCUCAAGGUGUUGGCCCUGUGGUGAGAAAGGGGCUUCUGCAGGUCAGCAGGCCGGGGUCUGGCUGCGUGCUCGGGGCUCGGUCACAGCGUCUGAUGUCCCCCAGCGAGGGCACUCAGGGAGCUGAACUUCCAGAGAGUUGGGCCACCCAGACCAAGGCCAGUUGGGACUCGCCCCCCAGACAAAGCGUCAUCCCUGCCUAGAGCCCUGGGCCAGGACCCAAGCGACGGCAGAGCGGAGCACCAGCCAGGACCAGGGCAGGGACCCGAGCUCAGGCCCAGAUGUCCUGGGCCCUCGGGGACGCACAUGGACGCACCCUCGUCAAAGCAGCCUGCGAGAGGGCAUGCCUGCCACCAGCCUCUAACCCUCCAAACUGAAGCCACGGGUAUGCUUCCAGCCUGGCUUGAUGAGCGUGUCCAGGCUGAUUUAUGGAAAGGAAUUUCCCCACAAUACUAAACACAUAUGAAGAUACCUUACCCCACCUGUCCAUGGUUUUAAAGACUUCAGUGUGUCUCGUGGGUGAACCUCCAGUCUCAAGCCCUGAGAUGGGUGGUGGGUGUUCCAGUGUGUCCCUGGGGAGGGGUCCCCUCGGUCACUCCUCUCGCCUCCAGCGACCGCAGGGAUAACUGGCCCAGCCCGGGUACCCCAGGCCUUGCUGGGGCUCAGAGCUGCAGUGUGUGUGAGGACCGGUGCUGCUGGAAUUGCGCUGUGGCUGUGUUCCUGCUGACCUCCUCCCCGGGGCUGGACCGUCACCGGCAGGAACAACACAGGUUCUCCUGGAAGGGAGCAGGGUGCUGGAUGGAUUCCGCCUCGCCUUUAUUUCUGCUUUAUUUGUGGUUUUCUCUAAAUUCCCAUUUUGUAUACUUUACUUUCAAAACACUUUUAAGGGAGGUUUAUAAAGGAUCGUUUUUGCCUCGGAGAGAAAACAAAGAAACCUCCUGUUAAAAAGUGCCAAUAAAACAGAUGUCUGGCUGAA